AUACGGAGGGUGCAAGCGUUAUUCGGAAUCACUGGGCGUAAAGGACGCGUAGGCGGGUUGGCAAGUCAGAUGUGAAAUCCUACAGCUUAACUGUAGAACUGCAUUUGAAACUGCUAACCUAGAGUAUGGGAGGGGGAGAUGGAAUUAGUGGUGUAGGGGUAAAAUCCGUAGAUAUCACUAGGAAUACCGAAAGCGAAGGCGAUUUCCUGGAACAUAACUGACGCUAAGGCGUGAAAGCGUGGGGAGCAAACAGGAUUAGAAACCCUUGUAGUCC
rnacentral:rRNA from 1 species